rnacentral:rRNA from 1 species
GUGAACGCUGGCGGUAGGCCUAACACAUGCAAGUCGAACGGCAGCACAGUAAGAGCUUGCUCUUACGGGUGGCGAGUGGCGGACGGGUGAGGAAUACAUCGGAAUCUACUUUUUCGUGGGGGAUAACGUAGGGAAACUUACGCUAAUACCGCAUACGACCUACGGGUGAAAGCAGGGGAUCUUCGGACCUUGCGCGAUUGAAUGAGCCGAUGUCGGAUUAGCUAGUUGGCGGGGUAAAGGCCCACCAAGGCGACGAUCCGUAGCUGGUCUGAGAGGAUGAUCAGCCACACUGGAACUGAGACACGGUCCAGACUCCUACGGGAGGCAGCAGUGGGGAAUAUUGGACAAUGGGCGCAAGCCUGAUCAAGCCAUACCGCGUGGGUGAAGAAGGCCUUCGGGUUGUAAAGCCCUUUUGUUGGGAAAGAAAAGCAGCAGGUUAAUACCCCGCUGUUCUGACGGUACCCAAAGAAUAAGCACCGGCUAACUUCGUG